AAAAAAGAAACUAUAGCUAAGGAUAAUAUUCAAAGCGGAAAACUUUAGGUGUCUCUUUAUGAGUCAGUAAACAAAAAAAUUUGCUGGGAUAUUAAUGAUGCUAAGUCAAAAAAGAUUCACAAAAUUAUUGGUGAAAUGAUUUGUGUGGACAAUGAACCGUUCAAUAUGGUUGAACGUUCAGGAUUCAAUAAACUUAUGUCAUUUGUCAAACCACAGUAAAAGAUGCCUGGUCGAAAAUAUUUCACAGAAACUGUUAUUCUUCAAAUGUAUACUGAAUUGAAAAUAAAAAUAAUGAGUACACUGGAAACGGUUACUGCUGUGUCACUUACUUCUGAUAUCUGGACUUGCAGCUAUAGCAACGAAAGUUUUAUUAGUUUUACAUGUCACUGGAUCUCUGACGAUUUUAAACAACAGCAUUGUACCUUAAAUGUAAAGCACUUUCCCGGAAGACACACUGGUUUUGCUAUUAAAAAUACUUUAGAAAAACUAUUAAAUGAAUGGAAUUUGGAGGGCAAGAUUCAUUUAUUAAUACGUGAUAAUGGUGCUAAUAUGACACAAUUCAUCUUCUUAUAACAGAGUCUAUAAAAAGUCAGAAAUCAGUCCAAGAUCUCUUAGUUCGCGCCAGAAAAGUUUGUACUCAUUUCCAUCACUCAUCAUCAGCUACUGAUAAACUGAAAUUAAUACAAAUUAUUCUAGGAGUUCAACCUAAGAAGGUUA